UACGAAGGGAGCUAGCGUUGUUCGGAAUAACUGGGCGUAAAGGGAGCGUAGGUGGAUAGAUGCGUUAGAUGUGAAAGCCCCCGGCUCAACUGGGGAGGGUCACGCGAUACUGAUCGACUCGAAGGCAGGAGAGGGAAGUGGAAUUCCCGGUGUAGUGGUGAAAUGCGUAGAUAUCGGGAGGAACACCAGUGGCGAAAGCGGCUUCCUGGUCCAGCACCGACGUUCAGGCACGAAAGCGUGGGGAGCAAACAGG
rnacentral:rRNA from 1 species